rnacentral:rRNA from 1 species
GACGAACGCUGGCGGCGUGCUUAACACAUGCAAGUCGAACGGAAAGGCCCUGCGUUUGUGGGGUGCUCGAGUGGCGAACGGGGGAGUAACACGUGAGUAACCUGCCCUUGACUUUGGGAGAAGUUAAGGAAACUGGGGCUAAUACAGUAUAGGAGAUGCUGCUGCAUGGUGGGGGUGGGAAAGUUUCGGCGGUUGGGGAUGGACUCGCGGCUUAUCAGCUUGUUGGUGGGGUAGUGGCUUACCAAGGCUGUGACGGGUAGCCGGCCUGGGAGCGUGACCGGCCUCAAGACUCCUGCGGUACGGACCAGACUCCUAUGGGAGGCAGUAGUCGCGAGUCUUGCCCAAUGGGCGGGAGCGGGUGGAAGCGACGCCCGGUUCGGAAUGACCGCCUUCGGGUAGAAAACAGCAUUCGGUUGUGACCACGCGUUACUGACGGUACCGGGUGAAGAAGCACCGGCUAACUUCGUG